UCAAACUUGGUCAUUUAGAGGAAGUAAAAGUCGUAACAAGGUUUCCGUAGGUGAACCUGCGGAAGGAUCAUUAAUCAAGUUUUGUGAGAUGUGAAAUAUUCAUCUUCAAACUUCCUAUCCUCUGUUUAUAUCAAAACUUUGUUGCUUCGGUAAGUCUGUCUUUUUUCGAGACUACCGGGAUUUCGAUCCUGGUUCGUACUUAUCGAUGGCCAUCACAAAAUUCUUUUUAAACUUUAUGCCUCAUAAUCUUUAAAUUCAAUUUAAAAAUUAAAACUUUCAACAACGGAUCUCUUGGUUCUGGCAUCGAUGAAGAACGCAGC
rnacentral:misc_RNA from 1 species